rnacentral:rRNA from 1 species
AGAGUUUGAUCAUGGCUCAGGAUGAACGCUAGCGGCAGGCCUAAUACAUGCAAGUCGAACGGAUAUAGGUUUUUCGGAAUAUAUAUUAGUGGCGCACGGGUGCGUAACACG